rnacentral:rRNA from 1 species
GAUGAACGCUAGCGGCAGGCCUAAUACAUGCAAGUCGAACGGUGUCUUCGGACAUAGUGGCGCACGGGUGCGUAACACGUAUGCAACCUACCUUACAUUGGGGGAUAGCCUUUCGAAAGGGAGGUUAAUACCGCAUAUGACAGUAGCUGGGCAUCCAGCAGCUGUUAAAGAUUUAUCGAUGUAAGCUGGGCAUGCGUCCAAUUAGCUAGUUGGUGAGGUAACGGCUCACCAAGGCAAUGAUUGGUAGGGGAACUGAGAGGUCAAUCCCCCACACUGGCACUGAGAUACGGGCCAGACUCCUACGGGAGGCAGCAGUAGGGAAUAUUGGGCAAUGGACGCAAGUCUGACCCAGCCAUGCCGCGUGCAGGAUGAAGGCGUUAUGCGUUGUAAACUGCUUUUAUACAGGAAGAAACGACUCUUGCGAGAGGCAUUGACGGUACUGUAUGAAUAAGCACCGGCUAACUCCGUGCCAGCCGCCGCAGUAAUAC